UCAAAGCCCUUCAUAUCUUAGGUUAAAUGGGGCAAACUUAAAUUUAAUAUUUGUUCUAAUAAUUUCCUACAUUAGUUGUUGUUGCUGAGUGUUUAAUGUUAUCCUAUCAACCUUGUCUUCAUAAGGAAGAAUACAUUUUCCUAAGAGAAAAGUUGGAUUCAGUGAGAGCUGUUUUACUCUUUCUAGGAGACGUAUUGUGGGAUAAAGGUUUAUUCAACACCAGUGUGCACCAGAGAGAAUAAUCCUCACUGUGGGUCAGAUGGUAAAACCUAUAACAACAAGUGUGAAUUCUGCAGCGCUGUCUGGGAAAACAAGGAACCUCUUACUCUCAAGCAUUUGGGACAAUGUGGAAGUACUGACUGAUUCUCCAAGAAUGAUAAAAUCAUAGUAUAGGAACCAGUGAACCGUAUUCUUGUCUAACUACCCCACUACUACAAUUUUUACCCAUCAAACCCUCCACAGAUCAACCUACAUAAAGAAACUUCUUUUGGCCUAAGCUUAGAUCUCACUGAGAUAGAAAACUUUUAUCUGGGCUGUAUCACUUCAAACUGUACAUGAAGAAUUACUGAAUGCUCCUCCAUUCAUAAAAAUUAAUCUGUGAAGAUACAAAAUUAUCACAUCAAGAACAAUACUAGGCUCAGGAAAUACAUAAAUAAGGUAGCAAAAAAAAAAUCUUCUCGCCACUCUUAUUUCUUUUUAAAGAUGCAAAGCAUAAUGGCACCAGUAUUCCCUUUUUAUUGGCCUUUUCCACACAGGGCUUUUUCAUAGGUCCUCACCCCGUACAGCUUUGAUCUAUCCCCUGAGUUCUGCAUUCAUGGUUGUUCAGUCUUUAAAUUGCUUCCCAUAAUCUUUAAAGUUCUGCAUGGUAAAAUUCUGUAUCCGCUGCAGACGUUGUCUUUCCCUGGGUGUUCUGUGUUUUUGGCCCUGCACAUUUACCCCAAUGGGUUUUUUUUACAGCAAAGGUAAAAGAUGGCUUUUUUGAAGUGCAGAAAGUUUUCUUUGGUGUAAGCCCGGCCCUGCCUUUUGUCCUCCUGCAUCCUGAUUGGUAGAAUACCAAUGUAUAAUCACACCAUCCCCUGCUUCUUCUCCCAUCACUGUCAGCCCUCAUUCUUAAAAACAAAACCUCAUCUGUAAUGAUUUCAAGUAAAUGUGUGCAUGUAUCUUUAAAUGCUUGGUGUGAGAUAGGUGAAGAGUGGGGGUGAAAGAGAAGGAUAUGAUUGGUUGAUGACUGAGAGUGGGCGGAGUGAAUGCAGUUUGAGACUGACAGGGCAGAGAGAAAAGUUUGAGUCAGAGGAAAGCAGGCUAGCUGUGUGCUGCCUGAGUAUACUGAAGUAUUUAUGAGAGAAAUAUAACUUGUGUGGAACUUGAACUGAGCAUGUUUGUGAAAGGACACUCAGUCAGGGAAAGAGAGGCCAGCUGUGUGCUGCCUGAGCAGGUUUCAUAUUUCUGUGAAUGAGAGUUAGAGAGGCUAGCUGUGUGCUGCUUGAGGAGUUUAAGCGUUUCUGUGAGAGAAAUAUUGAGUUACAGAAAGAGGCUAACUGUGUGUGAAACCUUAGAAGAGAUCUGCGUGAAUGAGUUUAUAGGAAGUAACUUUAAGAACCGAGAACUACAUUUAUGAAACCGAUACGCUUCUUGACUAAAUAAAAGUUUAUUUUGUUUUGUUAUAUCCCAGAGUAGCUGUCAUUGCUUUAUCCCAUUCCUAUCCUCAAGGCCACAUAGAACCACGAAGGAGCCUGACGCUUAGGAACAUUACCAAAGGGAAAACUUAAAUAAAAAAUAUUGGAAUAUAAUAUUCCUGGUGGCAGCAAACUACUCAGAGGGUGUUAAGGGAAAGAUUAAAAGCAAAAUCGACCCUAGAGAAAGUAAGGGUCAUAACAUCAUCCUUUGUUAUUUGUUGUGUGUGCAUGCUACCCUUGGCAGUUGAUCUUGGCAGUUAAUCUUGGCAGUAAAUUGUCUUCUCAUCAGCACAAACUAUCAGGAUGACAUUUUCUGUAGAAGUCUCUGUUUCCUUUAUUUUUAGACCAAUUUUUCCUCCAGUUUUUGAUUUAAAAAUAAAAUGUUUAUUUAUUUUAAUUUUAAAAGGCUCUUGUCUUGACACUCCCACUUUAAUAUAUUUUAAAGUUUCCUUCAGGAAAACCUCAGCUAAUCAACACACUAAUGAAACUGCUGAUGUCAGAAAGAUCACAGCAGAAAAUGGGCACUUUUCUGAGAGCAGAAAUGAAAACCAGUCACUACUUUGGUUCAGCUCCUUUAAAUGAGGAUUUACAAAAGCCCAAUGUGGGUCUGAUACUCACCAGGCUGAAUACCCAGAAAACCUGUUUAGGCUUGUCAGCACCCCUGUGGGGAUAGGGGAUCCCCUGCCCCACUCUUUAGCCUACCACCUCUCACCUGACCAAUGGGGGAGGAGAUGCAGGAAUGCAGAAGUGGGGCAAAGUGAGCUCUGCACACUGCUGAGUGCCACCACAUCUCUCUGGAAAUGAUGUCAUUCCCAGAGUGAUGUGGAAGAAAUGGGUCACACUAGAGGCUGAUUGAGUAAAAACCGGACCCCAAUUUAGUGUUUGGGGUCAAUUUUUAUUCAGUCAGCCCCUGGCAUCUCCACGUCAUGCUGGGAAUCAUAUAAUUCCUGGCAUGACAUGAGGGCACUCUGUUGGGUAUGUGUGCUGUGCACAUGCACAAGAUAAGUGUCCCUCCAGCACGACUCUCCCCUGUGACUCCCUAUUCCCUGCUUUCACCGUCAGGGCACCUGACAACCCUAAUCCCACCGUAAGUGAGCAUGCAGAAGAGAUGGUUGUGUCUCAGAAACAGGUGUGGAAAAAUUUGUAAUAGGGACACACAGGUUUAAAUCCUCACUCAGGUAUGGAGCUCAAUAGGAGACCCUGAGCCAGUUGCAUAUAUUCAGUCCAGUGUACCUCACAGUAUUGCUGUGAGGAUAAAAGGAAAGAGGGGAGAACCAAAUUUACCUGAUUUCCUUGGAAGAAGAAUAGGAUAAAAAUGUAAUCAAUUGAAAGAGGGGAGGAAAAGCCAUUUUACUGCUCCCGCUCCUGAAAAACAACAAAAAAGAAGAAUGCUACGUUACAGUUUUCUUCAGUUCAGUCAUAUGAGCCAUCUGCAGCCAGAAGAAAUAGAGUACAGGCAUUGAUUUACCACAUCAGUAAGAACAAGGUCUUACUCUCUUCCAGCGAACCUUGCAUAGGGACCCACUUUUACCUGAUAUGUCAUAAUAGAAGAUCUGACUUUUUGUCUGUAAAUUUUCUAGCUUCUUAAUAUAAAUUGAGCUAUC